AAGAGGGAGGGUUUCCACGUUGGCCGAGGGCCCGCCUCAGCAGGAGGCAGAGCCGGCCGUACCAGGUCUCCCGUGACCUCCUUGGACACAGCCGGGGAGAAGGAGUCCUCCUCUGUUGCUGCCCGACUCUGAGCUCCGGGGCCUUCGUGUAGCUGAGCUUGUGUGGCUGGAGAUUCAGGAAGUGUGUCUACAAGUUCAGAGCGUAUUGAGCGGCCGGUGGUCAGAGCAAAUCCAGCUCUGGCACCGACUGGCUGUUCCACUUGGCAAGGCCACGUGCCCAGUCUGGCCUUAGUCUCCUAAUCUCUAAAAUGGGGACCUUUCCUAGCAGGGCCAUCCCAUAGUAGCAGGGCUAACCCAGGAGCCGAGGGGAGCGAGAGCCUGCUGACACAGCGCCUGGCCCACGUGGGUCCACCGUGAAUGGCGGCGGUUGGGGGCCGUCCCGUGUCCCUGACCGACGUUCUGCACUUCUUUGGCUGCAGGCGAGCCCUGCGGGAGGUGUUGGGGACUUAAGGUCCCACGAAUGAGCUUCAAGCAGGAUGUUGGUGGGAAUCGUUGCCUGAACCUACAUCCUUGUCUCCAGUCUGCUUUAAACGGGGACCUGGCUAAGAAAGGGUUGCUAGUUUAUCACCCUGACCUGCAGGAGAGUGGAGGAGACCAACUCGAAGCAUCAGCUCUUGCAUCAUCUCUGUGCCGGAUGCAGCCUGAACAGAACCAGGUCUCUGCCCAUCCAGGGAGCCCCAGGCUUGGUGGGGAGCAGACAAAGCAGGCUGUUUGGACGUGACGUGGUAAGUGCUUGGACAGGAACACACAGGAAGCCAUGCCUUUGAGCUGUGCCUUGACCACAGGUGGGAUCUGGGUAUUCAGACAAAAUGGAGGGUGUUACCUCUAGAACAUGCAAAAGUCAGGGGGAAGGAAGCACCAGGGUAGGCUGGGAGAGGGCUCAGUAGGAAGCCCCUGGUGAGCUGGCACAGGGACAGUGUGUUGCACAUCGGCACACGGGCCUGUGGGUUAAGCUCCAUCCUCAGGGAAUGCCUGCACCCCUGAUGGGCUUUACAAACAUCUGUUUUUGUGUCUGCCUCAGGGGCAGGCGCCAGGUCAGUGUAUCUGUAUCCUCUGGGAUGAGUGGACAGUGACACAAGUGGUGGGAGCUGAGUGGAUUCCGAAUAAGCAAAUGGAUGGACGGAUGAAUGGAUGGAUGGUUGAAUGAGUGGGCAGUAGGAUGAAU